CGCACUCCUUCACCAGGACACGCGGACAACAACAUCGGAUACCAGAAAGGCUUCAAAUUAAAAAUGCACCAGGAAAGAAAUGCCAAAACUCCACUGCCUGUGCCUCAUGCGUCAAUUCAAUUACAUCUUUGGCUUUCGAUUGACUUUAUUAUUUUUCUAGUUCUGUAUUUAAAUAUUAAUACUGUAUUUGUGAUCUAAUUUACUGUUUUCACUGUCUUUGUGGUUGUCCCGAUUGUUAAAUGCAAAGUGUUUUGUUACAGCUCCAGCUGUUGUGAAAUGCUUUAUAUGAAUAAAGUUGUAUUGUAUAUGUAUGUAUUGUAAUUAACCUGAACACAAUAGGAUGUCCUAUAGUACUUAAAGUACUGUACAGGGAGUAAUUACUAAUGAUGGGCAAAUGAAGCUUCAAGGUGAUUCAUGAACCCAUUGUUGUUUACUUAGACCUCUAAAUGACAGUCUCUGUUCACCAAAGAGCUGAAAGCCCACAGACUUAGCAUUUUUUUUAAACCCUCACUUUAAACCAACAUUCCCAUCUAGAGGAGUCAAAGAAUACAACAACUGGUUCAUGAAGCUUCAUUUUCCCAUAAUUACAGUUGCUCAUCGUGUUCUGUUGUAGCUUCUCAGGUGAACACAAAUCCUGAGUUGUUUGUGUGAGUGUGUGAAAUGCUGGAUUACACUUCUCAUUUUUGGCGGCUGAGGUUGUGGGUGACAUGUUUAAUUAGGACAAUGUUAAAAGCAAUGUUAUGCAGAGAUGUACUUAUGAUUUUAUAGACAAAUCAUACUGUUUAUAGUCAGUGAGGAGAGUUAGGGGCAUUUCUUCCUCCUGGCGGGCAUAACAUAAAAUAGGUGAAAAGAACUGGUCGAGCCUCAUGCAUGAAAAAACUGACCCUAGAUUGCCAAAUAUUUUUGUUGUGUUACAUUGUAAAAAUGAUACAUUGUUUAUUGCCUACUUGUGUGCAGCACCGAACUGGGAUGAAAAUAACAUUUUGGCUCAGAGCGGUCCCUCAUAUUAAUUGAAGUACGACCAAUUUGUCAUUUAUGUAUGUCUUAUCUGAAGGAAUGUUAUCCUGGCCUUAUUGUUACAUUUUAAAUUGAAAAUAGGGGAGGCUGUGUAAUUUACAAAAUAAUGAAUUUGGUAAAUACAUAUUUAGAAUGCCCUGGAAAAUAAAAAAGGUGCAACAGCUUGAAGAAUUGAAUUGUGGGACUAUCCCACAAAUGCUUGCAGGUUUUAUUUACUUAAAUAUCUUCUCAAGGUUAUGUUUAUAUUCCCAUUUUAUUUUUUU